rnacentral:rRNA from 1 species
UGCAGUCGAGCGAGAAGGGGGGCAACCCCUGAGUAAAGCGGCGGACGGGUGCGUAACACGUGGAUAAUCUGCCUAGGAGUGGGGAACAACAAUCCGAAAGGAUUGCUAAUGCCGCAUGUCGAGACGAGGACUCGGGUCCUUGUCGCAAAAGAGGGCGCCCGCAAGGGGCUCUCGCUCCUAGAUGAGUCCGCGUCCCAUCAGCUAGUUGGCGGGGUAACGGCCCACCAAGGCUUUGACGGGUAGCUGGUCUGAGAGGAUGACCAGCCACACUGGGACUGAGACACGGCCCAGACUCCUACGGGAGGCAGCAGUGGGGAAUAUUGGGCAAUGGGCGCAAGCCUGACCCAGCCAUGCCGCGUGAGUGAUGAAGGCCUUCGGGUCGUAAAGCUCUGUGGGAAGGGACGAAAAAAACGGGUCUAAUACACCCGAGCUUGACGGUACCUUCUUAGCAAGCACCGGCUAACUCCGUGCCAGCAGCCGCGGUAAUACGGAGGGUGCAAACGUUGCUCGGAAUCAUUGGGCGUAAAGCGCACGUAGGCGGUCGGCGAUGUCGGAUGUGAAAGCCUCACGCUUAACCUGAGAAGGGCAUCCGAAACUGGCUGGCUUGAGUACGGAAGAGGGUCUCGGAAUUCCCGGUGGAGAAGGUGAAAUUCGUAAGAAUAUCGGGAGGACCACCAGUGGCCGAAGGCGGAAGACCUGGGCCCGAAUACUGACCGCUGAAGGUGGCGAAAGCGUGGGGAGCAAACAGGAUUAGAUACCCUGUAGUCCACGCCGUAACGAUGAGUGCUAGGUGUUGGGGGGUAUUGACCCCCAGUACCGCAGCUACGCGUAAGCACUCCGCUGGGGAGUAC